GAUGAACGCUAANNUACAGGCUUAACNCAUGCAAGUCGAGGGGAAACGAUGAGAGAGCUUGCUCUNUUAGGCGUCGACCGGCGCACGGGUGAGUAACGNGUAUCCACNUGCCCAUUACAGGGGAAUAACCUUGCGAAAGUAAGANUAAUGCCCCAUGGUAUUCUCAGCAGACAUCUAAUGAGGAUUAAAGAUUUAUCGGUAAUGGAUGGGGAUGCGUCUGAUUAGCUUGUUGGCGGGGUAACGGCCCACCAAGGCAACGAUCAGUAGGGGUUNUGAGAGGAAGGUCCCCCACAUUGGAACUGAGACACGGUCCAAACUCCUACGGGAGGCAGCAGUGAGGAAUAUUGGUCAAUGGGCGCGAGCCUGAACCAGCCAAGUAGCGUGCAGGAAGACGGCCCUAUGGGUUGUAAACUGCUUUUAUAGGGGAAUAAAGUGAUCUACGUGUAGUUUAUUGUAUGUACCCUAUGAAUAAGGACCGGCUAAUUCCGUGCCAGCAGCCGCGGUAAUACGGAAGGUUCGGGCGUUAUCCGGAUUUAUUGGGUUUAAAGGGAGCGUAGGCCGUAGAUUAAGCGUGUUGUGAAAUGUAGAUGCUCAACAUCUGACUUGCAGCGCGAACUGGUUUACUAGAGUGUGCGCAACGUAGGCGGAAUUCGUCGUGUAGCGGUGAAAUGCUUAGAUAUGACGAAGAACUCCGAUUGCGAAGGCAGCUUACGGGAGCACAACUGACGCUGAAGCUCGAAGGUGCGGGUAUCAAACAGG
rnacentral:rRNA from 1 species